rnacentral:tRNA from 5 species
GUGCCCGUAGCUCAAUCGGAUAGAGUGUCUGACUACGAAUCAGAAGGUUGGGAGUUCGAGUCUCUCCGGGCACGCCA